AGAGUUUGAUCCUGGCUCAGGAUGAACGCUAGCGACAGGCUUAACACAUGCAAGUCGAGGGGCAGCAUGAUAAGUAGCAAUACUUAUUGAUGGCGACCGGCGCACGGGUGAGUAACGCGUAUGCAACUUACCUAUCAGAGGGGGAUAGCCCGGCGAAAGUCGGAUUAAUACUCCAUAAAACAGGGGUUCCGCAUGGGACUAUUUGUUAAAGAUUCAUCGCUGAUAGAUAGGCAUGCGUUCCAUUAGGCAGUUGGCGGGGUAACGCCCACAAACCGGCGAUGGAUAGGGGUUCUGAGAGGAACGGUCCCCCACAUUGGUACUGAGACACGGACCAAACUCCUACGGGAGCA
rnacentral:rRNA from 1 species